rnacentral:lncRNA from 1 species
AAAACUUGCAGGGAAAGCUGAAGCAUAAUAUUAUAGUAAAAUAUAUAUAUAUAUAUAUAAUAUAUUAUAUAUAAGUAUUUAAACUUUAGACUUUAUGUAUGUAUUAUAGUAUACAUCUUAUAUUAUAUAUAUAUAUACUGGCUAAACUUACAGUAGAGUAAUGUGUUGAAACUUGAGGGGAAAAUCACUUUUUGAGAGAGACUGGCUUUCCAGCAUUUUCUUGGAGAGAUGUGGUUUCAUGGAAGAAUGGUGUCUGAGCUACAUUUUGUCUUAUUCUAAAGAUAAAAAGAUGACAGAAGCCAGUGGACUUCGUAUCACUACAGAGGAGAGACAACAUUUGUAAGUAAUGGGUGGUUAUUUUUAUUAAGUAUAAUUAAGAUUUUUUAAUUCUUGUAUUUACAGUGAAAGAAAAAAAAUUGUACAAUCCACAAUGACUCAAGGCAGGAGAAUGACCCUCAGUGUGUAAAACUCUGAACAGUGUGGCAGGAACAGAGAUGUUCUCAAAGAGCAAAAAGCCUGCUACUGAAUCAGGAAAAUCUGGAUGGAAGAGCAGCAAGAAUAGCUCCAAGUAUUUUAGCUAAGAACUUGGAAGAAAAGCUACUUCUCCUUUCUCUCACAUUUUCUCUUCCCCUUCUUCAAUGUUUAAUUAACAACCACUCAUUCCAGAGCCACCCUAGACACACGAGAGGCUUCUUCUCAAAAACUCCUUCUUCUUCCCGUAAUUUUGAGAGCAAGAUCUUCCUAGUAAAGGGGUGAAGGCAACUUUUCUCUGUGUCAAAUUAGCUGUUGCUCAGCAAAUAGAAGUUAAAUGCUGCUAUAUGAAGCAAAUAAACACGUGCUAGCAUGAAAUCUGUGGCAGCAUCCUCAGUACCCUACUUCAGUCAACAGAACUAUCCAGGACAGAUCUCCUAAAAACAUAAGUUAUUGACACUAUAAUGAGAUUCUCUUUUUGUACUGAC